rnacentral:rRNA from 1 species
UACGUAGGGCGCAAGCGUUGUCCGGAAUUAUUGGGCGUAAAGAGCUCGUAGGCGGUUUGUCGCGUCUGCUGUGAAAACCUAAGGCUCAACCCCGAACUUGCAGUGGGUACGGGCAGACUAGAGUGUGGUAGGGGAGACUGGAAUUCCUGGUGUAGCGGUGAAAUGCGCAGAUAUCAGGAGGAACACCGAUGGCGAAGGCAGGUCUCUGGGCCAUAACUGACGCUGAGAAGCGAAAGCAUGGGGAGCGAACAGG